rnacentral:pre_miRNA from 1 species
AGCAUUUUGAAUCCGUGCUAAGAUUUCGUCAGAUACUAAUCCAUUAAGGUUGAUCAGACUUCCAAGACAAAUGAAGUU